rnacentral:rRNA from 1 species
GACGGAGGAUGCAAGUGUUAUCCGGAAUCACUGGGCGUAAAGCGUCUGUAGGUGGUUUAAAAAGUCUACUGUUAAAAAUUGAAGCUUAACUUCAAAGAUGCCGUAGAAACUUUUAAACUUGAGGAUGGUAGGGGUAGAGGGAAUUUCCAGUGGAGCGGUGAAAUGCGUAGAUAUCAGGAGGAACACCGGUGGCGAAGGCGGGUCUCUGGGCCGAUACUGACGCUGAGGAGCGAAAGCGUGGGGAGCGAACAGG